rnacentral:tRNA from 1 species
GCCUUUGUGGUGUAAUGGUCAACAAACUCUGCUCGUAUUCGAGAGGUCCGAGGUUCGAGUCCUAAUGAGGGCA